rnacentral:rRNA from 1 species
AUGUUACCAUUCAGCUUGUUCCAAGAAAUGUCCAGCACACUGAGGCUCUCCAAGGUCUGCAGCCAAGGCGGAAUUGUGCCGGUGAGCGCGCAGUUCGCCAGGACAAGCACCUCCAUGCUCUUGAACCCUUUGAUGCCAUCCAUUGGCAUCGUCUCCCCCCCAUGGAAAUUGUUGGUGAGCACCAAGCUGGUCAGUUUGGGCAGGUCCUGCAAGACCUGCAAUGCCGAUGACAGGUUCGUGAAGCCGUUGCCUGUCAGCGACAGGUACAAUAGUGAACUCAAAUUCUUGAAGCUCUCCGGUAUCUGCCCAUCAAGCUUGUUCCUUGCCAGGUUCAGCGUCUUCAGCUCGGCGCACCGGGCGAGGCUAGCAGGUAUGUUACCACUCAGCUUGUUUGACCCAGCAUCGAAAGUGUUCAGCCUUGGCAGCAAGCUGAAGUUGAGUGUGAUCUCACCGGAGAGCGAAUUGUUCCUUACGCUGACCACUGUCAACAUCCGACAGCUUGACAGUGAACUGGGCAAUGUGCCAUUGAAGCCAUUGGUUGCCAAGUUUAAGGUCUCGAGCCUCCUCAGCCUCCCAAACACAUCAGGGAUGAAGCCGGUGAAUUUGUUAUAUGACAAGUCAAUCUGCACAAGCUGCGACAGGUUACCGAGGUUGUCAAGGUCACCGGAGAGGUUGUUGUCCUGUAAGCUCAGCCUCUGCAACGCAGGCACCGUGUACAGGUCACCCGGGAGGCUCCCCGCGAGGCCAUUGCCGUCGAGAGAGAGCUCGGCGAGCGCCUCGCACCGGCCGAAGCCAGCCGGGACAUCGCCAGAGAACGCGUUCCCCGAGAACCGCAGGACCGUCAGGUUCUGCGUGGCGCCACAGAGCGCGGUGGUGUUGAUGCUGCCGGAGAAGCGGUUGCCGGAGAUGUCGAGCACCGUCAGGUUCGCCGCGCCGGGGAACGCAGGGUGCGGCCCGGCGAACUCGUUGAAGGAGACGUUCACCGCCUCAAUCGCCGGGAACCCGCCGGCGGCGCCGCCGCUCGGCGGGAACGUGCCGGAGAGGGCGUUGGCGCUGAGGUCGAGCACCCGCAGCCCGGGGAGCAGGCCGAGCCCCGCCGGCGCCUGGCCGCGGAACGAGUUCCGGGAGAGGUUCAGCGCGGCGAGGCGGCUGAGGGAGGCGACGGAGGGGGAGAUGACGCCGCGGAGGCUGCGGUUGGAGAGAUCCAGCCCAACCACCCUCCCGAGGUCGCAGGACACGCCCGCCCAGGAGCAGCACGACCCGCCAUCGCCGUCGCCCCAACCGAGCAGCCCGGCGCCGGCGCCCUUCCCGUCCAGGCCGUCGGAAAAGGCCCGGAGCGCCUCCAGGUCAUCCGCAUCGCACGUCUGGUUCAGGGCGUGGGCGCCGCGGAAACGGAGCAGGACGGCGGCGACGAGCAGGAAGCCGAGCAGGCCGCAGCGGGCCCCCAUCACCGGCGAGCGGCGGCGGCGGCGGGACUGCGAAAGGCGGCUCCUUUCCUGA